rnacentral:rRNA from 1 species
GACGAACGCUGGCGGCGUGCCUAAUACAUGCAAGUAGAACGCUGAAGAGGGGAGCUUGCUCUUCUUGGAUGAGUUGCGAACGGGUGAGUAACGCGUAGGUAACCUGCCUUGUAGCGGGGGAUAACUAUUGGAAACGAUAGCUAAUACCGCAUAACAAUGGAUGACACAUGUCAUUUAUUUGAAAGGGGCAAUUGCUCCACUACAAGAUGGACCUGCGUUGUAUUAGCUAGUAGGUGAGGUAACGGCUCACCUAGGCGACGAUACAUAGCCGACCUGAGAGGGUGAUCGGCCACACUGGGACUGAGACACGGCCCAGACUCCUACGGGAGGCAGCAGUAGGGAAUCUUCGGCAAUGGGGGCAACCCUGACCGAGCAACGCCGCGUGAGUGAAGAAGGUUUUCGGAUCGUAAAGCUCUGUUGUAAGUCAAGAACGAGUGUGAGAGUGGAAAGUUCACACUGUGACGGUAGCUUACCAGAAAGAGACGGCUAACUACGUG